rnacentral:sRNA from 1 species
CACCGCCUGGGGAGUACGACCGCAAGGUUAAAACUCAAAUGAAUUGACGGGGACCCGCACAAGUAGUGGAGCAUGUGGUUUAAUUCGAAGAUACGCGCAGAACCUUACCAACACUUGACAUGUUCGUCGCGACUUUAAGAGAUUAAAGUUUUCGGUUCGGCCGGACGAAACACAGGUGCUGCAUGGCUGUCGUCAGCUCGUGUCGUGAGAUGUUGGGUUAAGUCCCGCAACGAGCGCAACCCUCACUUUUAGUUGCCAUCAUUUAGUUGGGCACUCUGAAAGAACUGCCGGUGAUAAGCUGGAGGAAGGUGGGGAUGACGUCAAGUCCUCAUGGCCCUUACGUGUUGGGCUACACACGUGCUACAAUGGCAUAUACAACAGGAAGCGAGAUGGCGACAUCAAGCAAAUCCUAAAAAGAUGCCUCAGUUCGGAUUGUACUCUGCAACUCGAGUACAUGAAGCUGGAAUUACUAGUAAUCGCGGAUCAGCGUGCCGCGGUGAAUACGUUCCCGGGUCUUGUACACACCGCCCGUCACACCAUGGGAGUUGGUUCUACCUUAAGGCAAGGUUUAAAAACCUUGACCACGGUAUAGUCAGCGACUGGGGUGAAGUCGUAACAAGGUAGCCGUAGGGGAACCUGCGGCUGGAUUACCUCCUUUCUAAGGAUGAUUAAGGAUUAUUUCUUAAUCUAAAAAAUAUAACAGGCUAAUGUUGACCGUCCUCAUUUCUCUUCUUGAAUUAGUGUUUCUCUUCUUCUGCAUAAGGGCCGGUAGCUCAGUUGGUUAGAGCACACCCUUGAUAAGGGUGGGGUCGAAAGUUCGAGUCUUUCUCGGCCCACCAAAAUAAACUGGGGGAUUAGCUCAGCUGGGAGAGCGCCUGAUUUGCAUUCAGGAGGUCAGCGGUUCGAUCCCGCUAUCCUCCACCAAGAAACACUUAGUUAUUUCAUUUGUGAAUAUUUUUAAUUAUUAUCAAUAUCUAUAUCCGAUUGUUCGAAUAGAAGAACAAUCAAUGAAUGUUUAAAUAAAUGAACAUUCCAAAAAUUUGAUUCAACACAGAAUUUUUUUCUG